rnacentral:tRNA from 1 species
GGAGUUGUAGCUCAGUGGUAGAGCACUUGCCUAGCAUGUGUGAGGCACUGAGUUGAAUCCUCAGCAACACAU